rnacentral:lncRNA from 1 species
GGCGAAAUAACUCUUGAAAACUUGUUCAGAAAGACUUAUUGUGUGUUGCAUCACUGGCAGUUGCUGCUGUUCUUACAGUAAAGAGAGUUCUUGGGUGUCCUUCAUUAGUCAAGACUGUGAAGAAAUUCCAGAAUUCCUAGGAACAAAAUAUGGACAUAUGGCGAAAAGGCUAGAUCUUAGCUUCAACUCGUUAAGGCAGGGUUAUGAAGAGGAUGGAGCCAAACUCUUGUCAGAUGUACAGCAAAAGGACAAGAGGCAGUUGUCACAGUUGCGGCAAGGGAAUUUCUGACUGUAAGGAAAUGCUUCACUAUGUGAAAAGUUGAGUGUAAGAGGUGCCCAGAGGGGCUGUGGAAUCUCCAUCCUGGGUGAUAUUCAAAGUGCAAUUGGAAAAAGCCCCAAGCAACCUAAUCCAACUUUGAAGUCACCCUGCUCUGAGCAGGGGAUUGGACUAGAUGACCUCUAGAUGCCCCUUCCAACCUAAAUUAUUCUAUGAUUCUGCAGCUUUAUUGGCAUGGUCAUCAUAAAAUGGCCUCAGUUGUAGCAGCUCUUUUGAUUUGAUAUUGGUAGUGUUUUUCAGCUAUUUUAGAAAUGAACUAUUUACACUGUGUAUUUUCAAUAAGGCAUGUUUCAGGAACAGAGAUGUUUUGCUUUGGAAAUCUGCUCCCGAAUCUCUCAUGGCAACUGUAUUUGAUAGCCUUUCCUUAUAAUAGAGUACUGUAAAGGCCACUAUUUUGUUUCGUAAUAUGUGGAAAGCAUUCUCUGGGUCCCAUUUAAUGAAAGCAUGGAGUAUGGGAAGGAAAGUCACUGACGUGCCAGUGUUAGUGUUAUUGGAAGACUUUGCUGAAAAGGAUUUCAAGGGGGAAUGAAAAAUUACUGUUGAUCAUUGGAAGUUAAAGAUUUCAUUAGAAAAAAAAAAGGUAAAUAAUAAUCACUGGUGAAAGAAAGAAAGGAAUGAAUAAGUAGGAAGGAUGUCAUGUAGGUAGGAAGUAGAGAUUUGGAUGAAAUACAAAGAUUUUUUAAAUGCAUCUUGCUGUCUUGUAGAGAGAAAAAAAACCCCCAAACUAUUCAAAGGUUGUUUUUCUUGGAUAACUUGCUUUGUGCCAAAUUUUUCCUUUUACAUUAAAGGCUAAAUCCAGACCAGUGCUUGAAUAACAAAUUUUUGUACAAAUAGGUUUUUAAAAGUAACAUCUACAGUCCAAUUCAGAGAAGUCCAUCUUCUAAUUUUGCCCUCAGUAGUUU